rnacentral:lncRNA from 1 species
AAAAUAACAGUCUUCACUUUUAAUGACGCCAAAGACACGACAACAUCUUCAAUCCCAGUGGUAGGCACUCCAUUUUUUUUGUUUUCUGUUUUAAGCCUUUCCCAAACCUUAACCACUCGGAAUUAAUACCUAAACUGAAGUUUAACCCUAACCUUAACCAUUCGGAAUGAAUGCCUAAACGUACGUUUUAGUUGAACCUUUGUAGAGUUUUUGACUGACAGCUAAGAUACGACGCAACAUGGCGUAAUUAAAACGUCAAGCCAUUGCGUAAUUCUGUUACUGCAGUUACGCAACUGUUUGAUGUUUUAUUUGGAGAUUGGGAUUUUUUUUUUUAACAGUGUGCAUAACUGCAUUUUUUAUUUGAGAGCAGUAUGAUAUCGGCAUGCCAGACUUUGUCAGUGGAAUGUAGAAGUGAGAAAUGACCCUUGUGUUCAACACCUCCCCUGCUCAGAGGCAACACCAUCACUUGGUUUCCUGACUCUCACACCUCAUCACUACUUCAUCUGACAACUAGGUUAAUCAAUACGCUUCUGGCUUUAAAGAUCACUUAUCUCUUUUUUUUUUACGAGGUCAUCUAAACACAGUUCAAGUUUUUAAAAUAACUGGAGUUGGAAGACUGUUGUUUGAAGGGACAUGGAGGCUGUGUUUGUACUAGUGUUGGUGAUGUUAGCAGCAGUGUCCCAUGCUGAUGACCAAUGCAAGUGGAUGUGAACUGCUGUUUAAAAAGAACCUCACUGACGGUCCGACACUGAUAUUCUCACUGAAAAGAAACAAGGUGACCUUCAAGAGACCCACUGAAGACAGAUCACAGUUCUUUAUGAACAACGGGACCUUUAGGUUAACCAACGUGGAGAGGGCUGAUUCUGGGAAAUACUUCUUGGAGAUCUACGAUUCCGGAGGGGAACAUUUGGGAACCAGACGAGUACAACUGGACAUUGAAGGCAAGUAACAUCAUAAGACAAUUUCAUUCAUACCCUAUCUAUCUAAAUGACCAAAUGCAAAUCAAAUGGAAUAAGUUGGGAGCAGAACAAAGUAGCCAUACUGCCCAGUAAAAUCCAAAACACACCAAAUUCUAUGUAAAAUGUGCCGAAUACAACAGGUGUAGUAGACCUUACAGUGAAAUGCUUACUUACAAGCAAUAACCAAAAAUGCAGUAAAUAAAAAAUAAUAAUAAUUAUAAUAAUAAGAAAGAAUAAUAAAUAAUAGUAACAAAUAAUCAGUUACACUGAUAGUGACUACUUCCUCAGACACAGUAACCAUUUCCUUAAACAGUUGGAAAUACAGUAAGAUUGAAACAAAUUGUGUAACAUAGCUGAUUACAAUAUACUUAGCAUGUGUGGCAACCCUUAACAUUUAAGGUUCUGCAAAUGUAGGCCUAUGUGUACAAGCGGCUUAACGGUCAUGGAAUCAUUGAAUGCAAACAAUAAUUACUGGAUUUCAUUGAAAGAGUAAUUUACACAUCCAGUUUGGGAUUGUAGAAUCAGGGAGACGUUCUCAUAAAGGAAGUCGUAAGCCCUGUAUGUACUGUAUGUGCUUCUGCAGUUGGCACUUUCAGUAGAUUAGUGUUGUUGCCUGGUAACCGUGACCUGGAUUUGGUCAGGUGUCCUCAUCAGCUAUAAAUAAAUGUUGUGUGUAGUGAUUUACCAUUAAUGCUCAUAACCUCUCCAACAUGUUACCUCUCUUCUACCCAGGGCUAUGUCCACCCAUGGUGCUCAUUUUAGGGUCAGUGUCAGCUGGUGGUGUCAUCCUAGCAGUGAUGCUGGUAGGCUGCUGUAUUGGGAGGAGAAGGAGAAUAUUCAACACCACAGGUUAGAACAAAGCAGGCGCCCCACCCAUAAUGUUACCAUAGGUUUAUCAAUGAGGGCUACAGCACAGGGCAGGUGUGUGUGUCACCAAUACCUAAGAUUAAACUGUCAUUAAAUCACUGAUUUCACUCUCAUCUCACAUUGUUAGGUGCAGAACUCAAAGGACUUCAGCCUUCAGAAUGAGGAAGGAGGCGAUCAAACCUGUGGAAACCUAUAACGGAGAGGAGAUAGAGGUUGUGGAGGCUGCUCAGGGGAGGACGGCUCAUAGUAAUGGCUGGAAUGGAGUUAAUGGAAUGGUAUCAAACGUGGUUUCCAUGUGGUUAAUAUAAUUCCAUUGACUCCAUUCCAGCCAUUAAUAUGAGCCGUCCUUCCCUCAGCAACCUCCACUGUUGUGGAGGCAUUAGUGGACCUAUAGUAGCAGACAGAGGUUAUUGAUAAGAAACUUGAAUGGAAAGAACAUAUUGAUUGAUUUAUUGUGCUCCAACCAGAGACCACAUUACAUACAGGCAGUUAACCCACUGUUCCUAGGCCGUCAUUGAAAAUAAGAAUUUGUUCUUAACUGACUUGCCUAGUUAAAUAAAGGUAAAAUAAAUAAAUAAAUAAAUAAAAUACAUGAAUACAUUAUCGAGGAUAAAAACACAAAGCCCGGAGUCUUAUUUCCAUUGGGGUCUUCUUUUGGCAGUGAGAUGGCAGACACUUUUCAUGCACUCAAUGCAAUGAAAAUGAAGAACAGUAGCCAUUUCCAACCAUUUCCAACCAUUUCCAUUUAAAACAAUUUAGAACAAUAUCAACAGCACAGAGGUCCCGUUUGAGUCACCUCGUCAAAGAAUACCCUUAAUCAAAUGGACAUGUUAUUUCUCAGGUAUGUUUUUAGUGACACCUUAAAGCAAUUCUAUGAUGACAGAGUAUUCAGGUAGCUUGGUAAAACUGUUCCAUAGAACUGCAGCAGAAUACAGGAAAUAGUUUUCCACCAUGGAGCUCUUGAAUCUACAGGGAACAAAGUUUCCUCUGGUGGAAUACUGAUUGGUGUCAUUUAUACGGCUAAAAUAAUGUUGUUGUCAAACCCCAAUUUAAACUGGGUGACUUUAGUUUCCACCUUGAGCCGUUUCAGUUCAUCAAAGUGAGAUGGUUCAAGAUGAAUAUUAGGUGGACGUUUCAGAAUAAUCUUGGCUCUUAUUCUGAGAGGUCAUAGGAUUGUUCUUUAUACCUUUAGGGGAACCGCUGUACCAAGAGGCACAACAAUAAUCAAAAUGACACUGCAUACCAGUACCUAUUUCCUUUGUUCUUUCAUUGUAUGCAUCCAUUGACUUCUAAUAAGUAUUUCUUAUGGCAUUGGCUGGUUUCUAUCAGUUUUAUCAGUUAUUUUGCCAGCUAUGAAUUGGCAGUGGCGUUAAAUUACAUGAAUUACAUUCCCUCCAUAAAUGGAAACUAAUUGUAUUUUAAUACUUUUUUUUUCAUGAGAAAUAAACAAUGAAUCUGUAUCACUUUUUCCAAAUGAAGAAGAUAUUAAACCUCACACUUUUUGUAUGGGUUCCUCUUUUCAGAGAAGAAGUGAUAUUUAAUGUCAAACGUACUGUAUAUUAGUAAUUAUAUUAGUUCAUUUUACUCAAAAAGAAACAACCGGUACCGUUCAGACAGUUCUCUAAACUACAGACUGGAACAACUCUUAGAUGCUCAGACUGUACGCAGCCAGAUAGAGUGCCUUCGGAAAGUAUUCAGACCACUUGACAUUCUUACGUUACAGCCUCAUUCUAAAACGUAUUAAAACUGUUUUUUUCCCCUCAUCAAUCUAUACACAAUAUCCCAC